CGUGGAAGUAGGGCACCGUCCAGUCCUGCUUGGGCUUCGCCGCGGCCAUGAUCCUGCGCACCUGGUUGGGCAGCCAGCACACGGCCAGCGUGGCCACGAUGAGCCCUGCGCAUGGAAAGAGCGACAAGGAGCGUGGGUGGGCAGCGGGGCCACAGAGAAACAUAACACAUCAAAUAUUUAGCAUCACUUAUGCACUUACUUGUUAGGAAAUAGUACCGAUUCUUCAGUGGUUUUGCUUGACAGUUUUUUCUGCCGGUAGCGUUUGGGAUUGGUUGGGUUUUUUUUAAUAAUUGUUCCAAGGUCAGUGCAGCAGCGUGCUGGGGUGAAGACUACAUACUGCUUGGAUGGUGUUUCUUUGUACCUACCGUCRUUUAUUAAUUUUCCAAGUGUUCUUUCACUGGUACUUGUAUCUUUGGAAAGAAUGGAUUUUUGGGUUUUUUGUGUGUUUUUUAUAUUUCUUAUGUUUUACCCUUUAUUUAAGAAAACAAACAAAAUAAACAACAAACUAUAGCCAUAUUAGAUCAGRCAAUACCCAGAAGAGAUCAGAUUCUUGUUUGUACAUUACAAAAAAAAAAAAGUAUGCAUAAUAAUAUAUUUGGUGUUAUUUUUGGUAAAUUUCCUCUUACAGAAGAUAUUUUUAAGUAAAAUAUGUACGGAUCUUUCUAUGGUAAUUAAGAUAUGUUGGGCUUUCUUAAAAACCAAAUUCCAGUGGAAUUAAAUGAUGAAUGUAAUUGAGAAAAGAAAACCCUAAGCCUAGCCRUGGAAGUGUAAGCAGCUUUAAAUUAUAAAGUAUGCUUCAAAAUGUGAUGCCCGACCACUUUGUAUUUCCACCUGCAAGAUAACUGCGUGUCGCCGCAUCACGGAGCGCGUUCCGGAGGGGGUGACCGGAGCGGACGGACGCCGGGACACCCUCCUCGCAGCUCCUCGUGCCAUGGGCUACUCCAAAGCUGGAUGCCGCGCAGGACCACAUGGUGAACGACCRGGCCGUGUCCGAAGGGCCGGGGGAGCAGGACAGCAGGGCGCCGCUCACAGCCGCURCAGCCUUUCCUGGCCCCACAACCGCCCGCACAGCCUGGCUUUGGUCACCGAUGCACAAAGCCACGGCUACGCUUACCUGUC